GCACAACCUCAUCCACCAAAGAUAGAGUUUGAUGUCGUCCACCACAAUACACAUGGAUGGCGCCCCUGCCCGCCUGCUACGCGUCGCCAGCACCCACAACGCCUCCCAGGUCCCCGGCAUCGGCUUCGCCUGACCACGUAGAAGCGCAUGGACAGCGCCAGUGCUCCUCGGUGCCACGCAUCGGUUUCUUCCGGACAUCCACUUCCAACGGCCAGCAUCGGCUUUGGCCGGCAGCGGAUGCCUUCCACACCCACCCCGCGCCCGUCACAUCUCCUCCUAGGAUCUUGCUGCUACUCCUCGUCUAGCCCCUCCUUCCUUUGCUUCGGCAUGGAGCCUGACGAGCCGUUCAGCAUGUCUUGAAGUGGUAGAGUAAGAAUAGGUACAAAAUCCGCCUGAAUGAUUCACAGCUGGUCUAACUGCUCCCCAUGGCAAGAGAUUAAGUCCUAGAACUAAGAAAUUAUGGUACAAACUGAAUUGGCAUGUUCUGUUCUCACUCUCAUCAACUCUUGCACACUAUUUUCUUUCACUUUUCAAGUGCCAGUGCUCUGUGUCUAUUAAUGGAGGUGAUUGUUUGUUGUCUUCGCGCGGUGAAGAUAAACAGUGAGCUACGAGCCUACAAUGUGGGCAACUAAGAAUCGCUACCACCUAUGAAACAAAUCUCCAAUGCCUAUUUGAUUUGCGGUAUAUUUAUUUGUUCUUGGUGGGUGAUAUGUUUUUGAUGCAUAAAUGGUUGGCAGGGCCAUGAUAUUUUGUCAGUGGGAACUGAAACCACUAAUGUUAAUAUUUUUUUGAAAGGAAACGUUAUGUAUUUUUGUAGCCAGUAGUGCAUUGUUUAAUCUCAUGAAAA